GGGGGAUUAGCUCAGUUGGCUAGAGCGCCUGCCUUGCACGCAGGAGGUCAAGGGUUCGACUCCCUUAUUCUCCA
rnacentral:tRNA from 4 species